rnacentral:rRNA from 1 species
UACUCGAGUGGCGAACGGGUGAGUAACACGUGGGUGAUCUGCCCUGCACUUCGGGAUAAGCCUGGGAAACUGGGUCUAAUACCGGAUAGGAGCCAUUUUUAGUGUGAUGGUUGGAAAGUUUUUUCGGUGUAGGAUGAGCUCGCGGCCUAUCAGCUUGUUAGUGGGGUAAUGGCCUACCAAGGCGGCGACGGGUAGCCGGCCUGAGAGGGUGGACGGCCACAUUGGGACUGAGAUACGGCCCAG